GCAGGCAAGACACUUCCGGCAUUCAAAGGGCACGUGAUAGGCGAGUGACCAUAGAGUGGCGAGGAGACGUGCCAGACACGCCCACCCGUCUCGUCGCUCAGUCCUCCUUGUCGCUCUGAAAGAGACAGAAACUGAGGUUCCAGAAUGGCUGCCUCCCACUUAGAUGUGGACGAGGAAAUUCUAAUAGGUGCCGUCCAGCAAAGGUCUUGCAUAUGGGACAGCAGGGAUGUCGCUUAUGCAGAUCGUGGCCAAAAAAAUAAAGCUUGGGACGAAGUUGUUACUGCUGUGUUACCGGAAUGGCCCUCACUGUCACCCAGCCAACAAAUUAUAAAAAGGAAGGCGGUGCAAACACGUUGGCGAUCUCUAAAGGACUGCUACACCUGGGAGUUGCGCCAAAUAAGAGACGUUGGAAGAAGUGGAAGUUCGCCGUCUAAGCGCAAACAAUACAUUUAUUUUGAUCAACUUGAUUUUUUGAGACCAGUACUGGAAACAAGAAGUACCAGCGGGAAUCUGCAAAGAUCGAGUGGUCCAGAACCUGACCAUGGCAGCCCACCAGAGUCAGCAGCUGAGGCCCCUUCUGCUAUUUCUCUUCGAAGACGAAGGAGACGGCCCAAUGAGCCCAACAUUUCACUAUCAGGCCGGUUAAGCUCGCUUCUGGAUGAGCACAGGGGACUAAUGCAUGAUCCCAACUACCAUUUCUCAAUGUUUGCCUUCACUGUCCUUAAAAAGCUACCAAAAGAUAAAAUGGAUGCGUGUCGCAAAGAGUUAUGGGAGAUUCUAAAUAAAUAUAUUUCAAUGUCUGAACAAACACAGGGAAACCCUAAUAAUCCAACACAAACAACUACCUUACCACAAACCCAAUUUCCAACUUCUGCACCACUCCAUUCCUACCCUGCACCACCAAACACCCACCAAACAACAAACCCACACAGCCGCCAAUAUAACCCACCACCUGCUGAUUUUUAAACUAUGCAGCAAACCCCAUAUGCUCCAGACCUCCAAACUAACCCAUAUCCAAGCCAAUAUCAAACAUACCGUGCACAGUACUCGGCACCAUUACCAAACACAAUGCCACAAACAUCCGCCACUGUUCCACCACCCAGCAUUCGAUCAUUUCCGCCACAACAGCAAUUUGAGCCCAUCCAGCUAAAUCAGCAGUACAAUCAAGCCAGCCUUGGAGCCAAGCCUCAGCUCAAGAGACCCGUCCUUCCUCCGGACACUCCACAGCUGCCGGGUCACAUUCAUCUGUUGGCCAAUCGCGGACAUCAUCCACACAUAGCACCCCUGAGCCAGAUUUUGCACAGUUUUCAGAUUGAAGGUAACCCACAAUAUUACAUAACAUGCAAUUGACAUGUACUAACACUUCAUGUUUGGAAAAGUCUGGGCCCCUGUAGUAACUAAUGGCUGUAUUUUACAAUUGUCUGGAGGGACGUGUUCCCUCAUGGCAAAUGCGUAAUAAAAUCUGGCACUUACAUGUAGGGAUUUCAAACUCCACAUGGGGAGGAGUGAUCGCUACGCCACCGCUUGUCUUAAUGCUGUCCAGCGUCCAUGCAGCAAUAAGCAAUGAUUGCAGCACAUUGUGAUUUUUUUAAACAUGCUUUAAACUGUAAAAACAUAUGUUUCAAUAUCCACCAGUAUCAUUGCUCUCUGCUGCCAGAACGCUGCUGGACAUCAUGGAGAUGAUCAAUGGCAGAGUGAUUGCUCCUCACUAUUAGGGCUUGUUCACAUGGAACGUAAGGGCUCCGCACUCGUGCUGUGGACCGCAAAUUGCGGCCCUCAAUGAACAGGCACCGACCAUAGGCCAGCCGCAUGCGGAUCGCGGACCCAUUCACUUGAAUGAGGUCACUUGAAUUGAGGCACGGAACCCCAUGGAAGCACUUUGUAGUGGUUCCGUUCCGCACCGCAUCUCUGGAUUUGUGGACCCA